CCUACGGGUGGCAGCAGUGGGGGAUAUUGCUCAAUGGGGGGAACCCUGAUGCAGCGACGCCGCGUGGGUGAAGAAGCGCCUCGGCGCGUAAAGUCCUGUCAGCAGGGAAGAAAAUGACGGUAUCUGAAGAAUAAGCCCCGGCUAACUCCGUGCCAGCAGCCGCGGUAAUACGGAGGGGGUAAGCGUUACCCGGAUUUACUGGGUGUAAAGGGGGCGCAGACGGCGUAGCAAGCCAGCUGUGAAAUCCCAGGGCCUAACCCUAGGACUGCAUUUGAAACUGUGAUUCUGGAGUGUGGGAGGGGCAGGCGGAAUGCCUGGUGUAGGGGUGAAAUGCGUAGAGAUCAGGAGGAACACCGGUGGCGAAGGCGGCCUGCUGGA
rnacentral:rRNA from 1 species